rnacentral:misc_RNA from 1 species
UUGGUUUGUUUCAGGUGGUUGGCUGUUUGCUUGUGCUACAACUUCCACCCGGCUUACCUUUUCAGUUUUGCGUUAAGGCUUGUAUCAUCUUAUCGCAUUGUGGGUUUCCUGUGUUGCAUGCCUAAUNGAAGGUAUUAUUUUGCCUUAUCAAAGUCCCCCUUUGUCUNGUGCUACAUUUGUGGCAUGGGAUGAACCUUGAAGCAGUCUCUUUGAUCCACAUUGUUGAUGCACAAGUGUUGAUGUUGUGGCUCAUUGGUAUUGCUUUGUCUCAUGGAUACAGAAUCUGAUUUGGGCAUGUGGUCUUUAUGGGAUCAUUGUUUUGCCCUUUGUACUUCUCUGAGAUGACGACCUCUCAUGCAUUGGCUCGUACCAGCAUGAUGGGUUAUGUCGAAGAGGAAUGCUACCUGGUUGAUCCUGCCAGUAGUCAUAUGCUUGUCUCAA